UGGGGAAUAUUGGACAUUGGGCGAAAGCCUGAUCCAGCCAUGCCGCGUGUGUGAAGAAGGUCUUCGGAUUGUAAAGCACUUUAAGUUGGGAGGAAGGGCAGUAAGCGAAUACUUUGCUGUUUUGACGUUACCGACAGAAUAAGCACCGGCUAACUCUGUGCCAGCAGCCGCGGUAAUACAGAGGGUGCAAGCGUUAAUCGGAAUUACUGGGCGUAAAGCGCGCGUAGGUGGUUCGUUAAGUUGAAUAUGAAAGCCCCGGGCUCAACCUGGGAACUGCAUCCAAAACUGGCGAGCUAGAGUAGGGCAGAUGGUGGUGGAAUUUCCUGUGUAGCGGUGAAAUGCGUAGAUAUAGGAAGGAACAACAGUGGCGAAGGCGACCACCUGGGCUCAUACUGACGCUGAAGUGCGAAAGCGAGGGGAGCAAACAGG
rnacentral:rRNA from 1 species